rnacentral:rRNA from 1 species
UGCCAGCAGCCGCGGUAAUACGAAGGGUGCAAGCGUUGUUCGGAUUUAUUGGGCGUAAAGCGCGCGCAGGCGGAAUCAUAAGUCAGGUGUGAAAUCUCGGGGCCUAACCCCGAAACUGCGCCUGAAACUGUGGCUCUAGAAUUGUGGAGAGGGAUGGGGAAUUUCACGUGUAGGGGUAAAAUCCGUAGAGAUGUGAAGGAACACCAGAGGCGAAGGCGCCAUCCUGGACACAUAUUGACGCUGAGGCGCGAAAGCGUGGGGAGCAAACAGGAUUAGAUA